UGGAUCAAGUAUGCAAGCAUAUAGCGCCCACUGGAUCCAAGCCGCCUCCACCAUUGGAGGAGAGACUUGACGAGAUUUUGCGUGUUUCCCCGUGAGACAUUGAAUGAGAUCCGCCGAUCAGUGUAUACUAACAGCGGUGUAUAUAAACAACCACAUCCCACAACCCUGGCCUCUCCUAUUAUCAAGUAAACAACAGUUUAACGUAUUUACUUUCUUUUAUUUUGAAAAUUAACCGUAUAUUUUAACCGCAUACAACUUCUGCUGCUGCUCGUGCUGCACUGCACUGAAAUUGUUGCGUAUUUGAUCUGCCUGCCGUGCUGGAGCAGAGCGGAGCUGAGCCGUUACGGAUCCUGUGGGUUUUGCCCGUUAGGCUACGAGUUUGCAUGAAGAGGAGCAUGCAGAGCAGCGCUGUCUCUGCCAACGACUCAGAGGUGAAUUGCUAAUGAGCUACUGGAGCUCUGCAGAAGAAAAGCCCUUGAAAAUGAUAUGGGUAACCAGUUUGGCUAAAAACUUCAUAAUCACAAUUUAAAAACCAUUGAGAACUCUUUAAAUAGUUAAGAAAAAACUAACAAUUUGAAUGGGACUUUAAAGAGGAUAUAGGCCUAGAGAAAACAAAUGACUCUGCAUCCACCUCUGAUUCACCAAUACCGAUUGCCUACAUACAUGGUGAAAAUGACAGGGUUGAGAACAUAAUUGAAAUAUACUGAUGCUCUCUUGUCGUUGAGAAUGAAGUGGAUAUGCCAUAUCCAUGACACAGUGUUGGUUAUUAAUAACGCUGAACCUCCAACAGGCCACAGCAAUCUCAUCUUUCUCAGGUUUUAAAAUUCCAACAGCUAAAAGAUAAACAUCACAGACACCUGCUUUAAUGAGAUGCAACAAUACUAGAAUAUAAACCAGAAUGUAAGCAUAUAUUAUGUAUACAGGGGUAUGACUAACCAGAUUCAUUUGUGCUCAUGUAAAUGCAACAUCCCAAAUACAAUCAAAACUGGGAUCAGGCUCAUAACCGGGAUGUUCACAUUAACUGAGACAUUUUCUUUUCUGUUUCCUAGUCUUUUAACACCUCAUUAUUCCAUCUGUAUUAUGUUUAGAGUUUAACCCAUCCUCAAUGUCAAAUUUCCUCAAUCAUGGUCAUGUUGUUUUUUUUUUUUUGUCUUUACCCUUUCCUGUCACAACAGUUUGAGCCUCUUUUUUUGUUUUCUGACAAUAAACAAAGCUAUGUAAAAUUAAGAGGUUUGUUUGUUUGCCAUGGUCUAUGAUCAGACCAUGGCAUCAACCUUAUCAACUACACGUUGAUUGCAGUUAUACCAUAACCAUAUAUGACUUCCAAACUUAAACAUUUUGGUGACAGUGCUAAUUAGAGGAUCUGAUCAGGAGAAGUAAUCAGCAGCCAGAAGUUGUCCUUCUCAUACUGUUACCUCACCAAUGUGUUGAUAGAAGCUGGCCUUGUGUUUAGACUCUGAUUUUCAAUCAUGUCCUGAUUUGCUGAGCAGUUUGAAUGUGAGUUUUUCUAACUGCACUCAAUUUUCUCUGUAACUCAGGACUGAACAUUACCUCUAUUUACCCCAGAACACUAGCUACAACUUUUUCUGUAAGUCUUCAAUUGAAUUUGUUUCAUGGUUUCAGGGAUUCAGUCUUUUGGGAGAAAAACGCUUCAAAAUUGAGGUUUUAUCAUCUCAGUGGGGGAUUCAGAAUUUUUGUACGUGCCACAUUCUCACGAACUGUGAGUUCCAAAGAAACAAGUUUGCAGCCACAACAGUUGAACAAGGUUGUUUCUAAACAUGGCAGCUGAUCACAAUGACUGCGCUAACAUGCUCAUUUAAAGCAGUGAUAAACCCAUUGUGCCUGCCAUCAAAAUGUAGCACACACCACUCUUAAAACAAAGCAUGCAAUUUAUCUGGCAGCUGUGUCACUAGCUUUGUGAGUAUUGUUGAGGAAAUUAUAGCAUAAAUCCAAGGACCCAGGAUUCCUGUGUGGCCAGAGAGGUUUUUUUUAAUGGUAGCAAGUGGUGAAGUCCCCCAAAGUGACAGAAUGACAAUCUGGGGGAGUUGACACCAAACAAUAGCUGUGAUCUUUGUUCUCCAACUAAACAGUCAGACAACAGAAAUUCUUCUAGUAGGUUCCAAAUUCACCCUAUCCAAAGCUGACAGUCUCUUCCCAUCGACAGUUCCUCAGUUUCCCCCUCCCCUCAGGUCAAGAGUCUGGGUGUCGUCCUUGACAGUACUCUUUCCUUCAAAUCCCACAUCAGCCUUACCACUCGGACUGCCUACUUCCAUCUCUGCCACAUCAAUCGGCUCCGUCCCUCCCUCUCCCCUAACACCACCUCCAUCCUCGUCCACAGUCUCGUCACCUCCCGUCUGGACUACUGCAACUCCCUCCUCUUCAGUCUCCCUCACACGUCUCUCCUUAAACUUCAACUGGUCCACAACUCCACUGCCCGAUUCAUCACCAAAACCCCUUCGUCCCACUACGUCACCCCCAUCCUGCAGCAGCUCCACUGGCUCCCGGUCCCACUAAGAAUCCAGUUCAAAAUCCUCCUGUAUACCUUUAAAGCCAUCCACAGCCUCGCCCCUCCUUACCUGUCUGACCUCCUCCACAUCGCCACUCCAUCACGCCGCCUCCGAUCCUCUUCCUCUCUCCACCUCACUGUGCCCCCUGUUCACCUUAGCACCAUGGGGGGCAGAGCUUUCAGUCGCUCUGCCCCCCGACUCUGGAACUCUUUACCAUCACACAUCCGCAACAUAGACUCCCUCCCCCUAUUCAAGUCCAAACUCAAGACACACCUGUUUAAACUGGCCUAUCCAUCCCACCACCCCUAACUCACUCUUUUAAUUUAAUUUUAAUUGGUAUUAUUUAUUUCUUUAUUUAUUCCUUUGCUGUUGUUUAUGUUGCUUUGUUGAUUUUAACUGUUUUGAUGAUUGAUGAUUUUAAUUGUUAAUAGUGUUUUGUUAUUAUUGUUUUAUAUGUUCUGUAAAGUGUCCUUGAGUGACAUGAAAGGCGCUCCAAAUAAAAUGUAUUAUUAUUAUUAUUAUUAUUAUUAUUAUUAUUAUUAUAUACCAUUAGAACAAAGACUC
rnacentral:lncRNA from 1 species